rnacentral:lncRNA from 1 species
CUUAGCAGCUCCUUGUACAGAAAUGUACAUGGGAGCUUCUGUUUGGCCCCUUCCCCAUCUGUCCAUUUCUGCAAAACCUGAAAGCCUUCCACACACCAAGUCCUACCCUGAACCCUAGAGGUAUGAGAACAGAAGAAACAGAGAUCCACCUUCAAAAGCUGCUGGACCUUGGCCUUCAUCCAGCAGCUGGUGGAAGUAGAAGCAGACACCCACAACUAAUCACCGAACUGAACUGGAACUCAGAUGCAGAGAAGGACGAGUGAUGAGCAAAGGGGUCCAGACCAGGCUGGUGAAACCCACAGAAACAGCUGACCUGAACAACGGGGAGCUCUUGGUCCCCAGACUGAUAGCAAGGAAACCAGCAUGGGACUGAUCCAGAUCCCAGGAACGUGGAUUUCAGUGAGGAGACCUCAGAAAUCUACGGGACCUCCUGUAGUAGAUCAGUACUUAUCCCUAGCAUAGGUGUGGACUUUGGGAGCCCAUUCCACAUAGAGGAAUACUCCCUGAGC